rnacentral:rRNA from 1 species
GACGAACGCUGGCGGCGUGCCUAAUACAUGCAAGUCGAACGGUCUUUUCUAUGGAAGCUUGCUUCCACUGAGAAGAUAGUGGCGAACGGGUGAGUAACACGUGGGUAACCUGCCCAUAAGAGGGGGAUAACAUCCGGAAACGGGUGCUAAUACCGCAUAGUUUUCUUGAUCGCAUGAUUGGGAAAGGAAAGACGGCCUUUGUGCUGUCGCUUAUGGAUGGACCCGCGGCGUAUUAGUUAGUUGGUGAGGUAACGGCUCACCAAGACGAUGAUACGUAGCCGACCUGAGAGGGUGAUCGGCCACAUUGGGACUGAGACACGGCCCAAACUCCUACGGGAGGCAGCAGUAGGGAAUCUUCCGCAAUGGACGAAAGUCUGACGGAGCAACGCCGCGUGAGUGAAGAAGGUUUUCGGAUCGUAAAACUCUGUUGUCAGAGAAGGACAAGUUGGAGAGUAACUGCUCCAGCCUUGACGGUAUCUGACCAGAAAGCCACGGCUAACUACG